AGAAGAGGUCUCAGGAGUCAAGUAAGAGAAUUUUAGAAUGCAACCUACAUCAGAGUAGGAUAUCAAACAGCCAAUCGCAACCUAAAUGAAAACUCCAACAUCGUCAUGUGACAUGUUCUUCAGAAAUAGACAUUAGUACAACAUAUGAAAAUGAUUGACUGCUGAAAAUAAGCUUAAGAAGCAUUGAGAAUGAGGAUACAACACAAAUCUCACAGGAAUUCGGUGGUGGAGGCCAUCGGAAUGCGAGUUCAUUUAUGUUAGCCUCUACUGAGUUUAAGAAGUGGAAGGUUCAUGGUGAUGCCUUGACCAAUGCGGCAAUUUAGAAUAUUUUGUGCAUGUCAUGUAGAUGGUGUAAGAUGCUCUAAUCAUUGUUGAUUCUAUUAUCAAUCCAUGUGAAUCAAAUCCAACAGUAAUCUAUAUAGAUAGUACGUUAAAGUUUCUUCUGUUAGAUUUUUUCCUGUUUAAAGAGAAGUAAGAACUUUUUCUUCUGUUACCUCCUAGAAGCAUAGAAGCCAUAACAUUCUGUGUUAAA